ACGCUCGACACCUACGGGGCAGCAGUGGGGAAUAUUGCACAAUGGGGGAAACCCUGAUGCAGCGACGCCGCGUGGAGGAAGAAGGUCUUCGGAUUGUAAACUCCUGUUGUUGGGGAAAAAGAGGAUGGUACCCAACAAGGAAGUGACGGCUAACUACGUGCCGGCAGCCGCGGUAAUCUGAGCGGGCUGGCAAGGC
rnacentral:rRNA from 1 species